UAAUGCUUCUGGUCUAAAAAACCUUCUCCCUAAAGGACAUGUUUUCACCCACUACCAAUGAUCUCAACAAAUUUCUGGAUAGAAAGGACCUAUAGACAGAGAGAUGUACUUGCCGGAUUUUUUCAUCAACUGAAGAACAGGGGCAUCUGCUGCCACAGAGAGGAGAAGUUGCUCUUUUGCCUUUGGCCAUGGAUGUAUCAGGGUGGCUGUGUAUUCGCCUGGAGAGCCCACAGAUGCCACUGACACAGCAGCUGCUCUGACAAUAGCCCAUCAAUGGCUCCUGGAAAAACCUAGUAGACUGGCAGCUUUCAUUGCAAAUAACCAGGAAAUAAGAAGAUAGUGCAUUUUAUAUUUACAAGAGUGUU
rnacentral:lncRNA from 1 species